ACUGUUUACCAAAAACACAGGUCUCUGCUAAAGCGUAAGCUGAUGUAUAGGGGCUGACGCCUGCCCAGUGCUGGAAGGUUAAGAUGAUUUGUUAGGUGGACGAAAGUCGAUAACACCGAAGCUUUGAUUUGAAGCCCCAGUGAACGGCGGCGAUAACUAUAAUCGUCCAAAGGUAGCGAAAUUCCUUGUCAGGUAAGUUCUGACCCGCACGAAAGGCGUAAUGAUCUGGACGCUGUCUCAACCAUAGACUCGGUGAAAUCUUAAUACCUGUGAAAAUGCAGGUUACCCGCGACAGGACGGAAAGACCCCAUGGAGCUUUACUGUAGCUUGAUAUUGAAGUUAGGUAAUUUAUGUAGAGGAUAGGUGGUAGACUAUGAUGUAUGGACGCCAGUUCAUACGGAGUCGCCCUUGGAAUACCACCCUUAAAUUAUUUGACCUCUAACUUACUCCCGUUAUCCGGGAGGAGGACAGUGUCUGGUGGGCAGUUUGACUGGGGCGGUCGCCUCCCAAAGAGUAACGGAGGCGCUCAAAGGUUCCCUCAGAUUGGUCGGAAAUCAAUCAAAGAGUGUAAUGGUAUAAGGGAGCUUGACUGCGAGACCUACAAGUCGAGCAGGUGCGAAAGCAGGACAUAGUGAUCUGGCGGUAGAAUAUGGAAUUGCCGUCGCUUAACGGAUAAAAGUUACCCUGGGGAUAACAGGCUGAUAGCGCCCAAUAGUUCACAUAGACGGCGCUGAUUGGCACCUCGAUGUCGGCUCGUCACAUCCUGGAGGUGGAUUCGCUUCCAAGGGUUGGGCUGUUCGCCCAUUAAAGUGGCACGCGAGCUGGGUUCAGAACGUCGUGAGACAGUUCGGUCCCUAUCCGUCGUGGGCGUAGGAAAAUUGAGGAGAGCUGUUCCUAGUACGAGAGGACCGGAAUGGACAUACCUCUGGUGUAUCUGUUGUAACGCCAGUUGCAGUGCAGAGUAGCUAUGUAUGGACGGGAUAACCGCUGAAAGCAUCUAAGCGGGAAGCCUCCUCCAAGAUGAAUUUUCCCAUUCUUCGUGAAGUAAGAUUCCUUGUAGACUACAAGGUUGAUAGGCUAGAGGUGGAAGCGUAGUGAUACGUUGAGCUGACUAGUACUAAUAGAUCGAGGAUUUAACUUA
rnacentral:rRNA from 1 species